ACUGGGAUAACUCCGGGAAACCGGGGCUAAUACCGGAUAAUAUUUUGAACCGCAUGGUUCAAUAGUGAAAGACGGUUUCGGCUGUCACUUAUAGAUGGACCCGCGCCGUAUUAGCUAGUUGGUAAGGUAAUGGCUUACCAAGGCGACGAUACGUAGCCGACCUGAGAGGGUGAUCGGCCACACUGGAACUGAGACACGGUCCAGACUCCUACGGGAGGCAGCAGUAGGGAAUCUUCCGCAAUGGGCGAAAGCCUGACGGAGCAACGCCGCGUGAGUGAUGAAGGUCUUCGGAUCGUAAAACUCUGUUGUUAGGGAAGAACAAAUUUGUUAGUAACUGAACAAGUCUUGACGGUACCUAACCAGAAAGCCACGGCUAACUACGUGCCAGCAGCCGCGGUAAUACGUAGGUGGCAAGCGUUAUCCGGAAUUAUUGGGCGUAAAGCGCGCGUAGGCGGUUUCUUAAGUCUGAUGUGAAAGCCCACGGCUCAACCGUGGAGGGUCAUUGGAAACUGGGAAACUUGAGUGCAGAAGAGGAGAGUGGAAUUCCAUGUGUAGCGGUGAAAUGCGCAGAGAUAUGGAGGAACACCAGUGGCGAAGGCGGCUCUCUGGUCUGUAACUGACGCUGAUGUGCGAAAGCGUGGGGAUCAAACAGGAUUAGAUACCCUGGUAGUCCACGCCGUAACGAUGAGUGCUAAGUGUUAGGGGGUUUCCGCCCCUUAGUGCUGCAGCUAACGCAUUAAG
rnacentral:rRNA from 1 species